UGGGCGUGAAGGGUGCGCAGGCGGCCCCGCAUGUCAGGCGUGAAAUCCCCGGGCUUAACUUGGGAAUGGCGCUUGAAACUACGGGGCUGGAGGGUGGCAGAGGGAGGUGGAAUUGCACGUGUAGCGGUGAAAUGCGUAGAGAUGUGGAGGAACACCGAUGGCGAAGGCAGCCUCCUGGGCCAACACUGACGCUCAUGCACGAAAGCGUGGGGAGCAAACAGG
rnacentral:rRNA from 1 species